UUUAGUAUCUGCAAUCAGUCAAAGUUUAACGUAAAAAUUUAUCCCUUUGAAAUAUUUAUAAUAAUCAAAUAUCCAUAACGAUGUAAUUUAUUUAUAACGUUCAAUGGACACCGAUGGUUCUCUUACCCGUUUGAUAAUCUUCUUCUUAUCACUAGGUCCGAAGGCUUGCGGAAAAAGUGACGUAACAAUAUUUACCACAGAAUUACGAGGAUACCGCUUUUUACAGUCAAGCCAGAAAAUAUUAACGGAUGUAAGAAUGGAGACUCACCAGCGUCAAGGAUACGUUGCUUAACGGAGUGCUGUCUACCGUGCCAGAAUUGCCAAGCCUUUAUCUCAUCCUCGGGACUCUUCUCCUCCCGGAACAUCAGCAUUACAACGCUCUGAACAAUAGAACACGAUACAUGGGAUAAAGUGCAAGAGGAAAGUCAUCAAGAACUGUAUAGCCGACACGAGGAUGACGGACCUUUUCGUCCCGAGUGUACCAAUGAUCUGGCGUAUCUGGCGUGCGAGAUAGAAUGCAAGUGAACUGCAGUAUAAGGAGACCGAGAAUGCAUUUACAUACACGCAUAUAUGUGUAUAUGCACUUGCACGAGAUAGAUUAAAUUUUUAGUGAUUCGGGUGAAUGGGCGAAGGUCUAUAUAUAGAGAUACAUAGGCAGACUGUACAGAGUGGGGAGUAUUUAUAUGUGUAUUAAUAGACCCUAGUGCUUUAUCUAAUCUGUAUAAAGACACGUAUAUAUACCGUUGAUUAGAGAUCGCAGUUGAUGCUGUUGAUACAGCCUGUAUUUGUAAUUAUCGAGGAAGUCAUAUACUCGUCACCGCAAAAAUUGCCUUUGCAUGAGAAUGAAUAUGGCUAACGGGGUGCGAUUAAGUCAAUUAAUAUCCCACCGAGCGAACAAGCGAGUCUUAUUCGUAUUUUAUUCGAUUUCAAUCUGUAUUUCAUUUUUGUACAGGAGGUGAGAGGCAUUUAACAAAAAUCAAUGAUAUCAAUCGCGGACCAGUACUCGUAAUCAAGAAAGAAUACGAAUAAGUUAUAUAUUUGAUAAUUUAA